CCUUAUCUCUUCUUCACUUUGCAGAAUGGAAAGCUCACAGAUAUUCCAUCAAUGAUGUCACGUAUGUUGUCCACCCUCUUGAACUGGCCACUUUCAUCCUGAAUGCCAUCAACUAACAACAGAAGAUUAACCAUUCUUUUCCACUCCCAGUCCCAUCUUUUCUGGCUCAUCAUAAAAACGGCACUUCCGACCCACCUCUGAUGACAUCACUUCCGGCCAGCCAUGAUCAUGUCACAUCCUGUCUGCCCACGACUUCCUUCCUGCCGCCAUUAUUUAAACAGCACCAACUGUCUGUUUUGAAUUGUUGAAUGUUAUUUUUCAAUUUUGACCACUAUUCAGUCCUUUUUGACAACUCAGCGCCGGACAUUAUAUGGGGAAGCUUCCCAAGAUC